rnacentral:rRNA from 1 species
AAGUCGUAACAAGGUUUCCGCCGAGAUCCUUCGAAGCCUUUCACACACCGACUAUGGAAAAAGAAUUGUGUGCAGUCUCUCCUACCGAGGGCUACGUCACUGAAGUGCUGGAAUACAGAUCCUGUAAAUCAGCAGCCAAGCAUGGGUCAUGCCAUGGUUGGUUCACAGAUUAGCUAGUGAUGGUCAACCAGAUCAGUAUCGCUGUUGAUCAAGAUAUAAUCGGUCCUAUAGUCACAUCUAUAGCUGAACAACGUUCCGUAGGUGAACCUGCGGAAGGAUCAUUA